AUAAUAUUAUUUGUGCCGUAGACAGCAGGUGCCUUUAAGGCGUAACGUGAAUACCUGCCGAGGAUACAAUUAAUUUGUAUUUAUCUCUCUGUCCAUACGGUCAGAGAGUUUUUUUAU
rnacentral:sRNA from 1 species